AAAUUGGUUUGGGGUUUUUCAUUGCAAAUUAGAUGUAGUUGUUAGGUCUUUGUUCGAUUGAGUUUCGAUUUUGCUUCAUUUAGUUUACGGUCAACAUUCAAAACGACGAAUAAAGAGACUUCGUCUCUCAUUCUUUAAACGGAAAGUUUGAUACCCAGUCCUCUCUCAAUCCCCUUGAUUCAAAACUAAAAAUCCGAUCUCUCACAAUCCUUUCUAAAAUCCAGUCCUCUCUCACCCAGAUUUCUCUCCUAAUUUCCUUGACAAAUCGAUGAUCGACGGCGGUUGCAUGACGGGCAACGACACAUCUCUUCUCUCGGUCUCUCCUCGAAUGACGAUCUUCAUCUCUCUCUCCACAUCACUCGAUAUCUCAAUCUUUAAUUCAAAAUUUUGAUCAGUUUACUAGUUACCUUGAUAGUUUUGGAGUUAGCGGUGAGAUUCCAUCAACAUUUGCUAAUCUACAAAGCUUGCAGACACUUUGGGCAUCAGAUGUUGAACUCUCUGGCAGUAUACCUAACUUCAUAGGAAAUUGGUCAAAGCUUACUUCCUUGAGGUUUCAAGGAAACUCCUUUGAAGGUCCUAUACCAUCUGCACUUUCCAAUCUGACUUCUCUGACAGAGCUGUAUAUAACUGACUUAUCUACUACCAAUGGGAGCUCUUCUCUUCGGUUUAUUAAGGAUAUGAAGUCUCUAUCUGUCUUGUAAGGAGAAUCUUUCUUGCUCAAAUUUGAGUCUCAACUUCUGGAGAAUCUGUCUUCUAUAGUCAAAAGAUUGAAUCGGUUUUUGUCAUCAGAAUGAACGAACUUGGUAUGUCAAUGUUCCUCAAGAAAUCAACAGGCUGAGGUGCGGGGUGAACUAUCACGCUCUUAAAUUUCUUCCCGAGAUAGAGCAGAUGGCUGAUUUAUUGGCAUCAAGGAUGAGAAACCGCACUGGAAGUUCCAAUCCUUAUAUGUUAUGGAGGUCAUGAAGAUAUUGGAGAUUGACCUUGAAAGUGGAUGGAUUUUGCCCAAGUUAUUUCAGUGGGAAAGGAAAGCAAAUCACUUCUACACACAAAAAGACAUUGAUCAGGUCCGGGCCGAGUGGGCAAAGUAUGUAAGCCAAUUUCAACAAAGCUAGUGUGUCGAGAAGAUUCUAAUUUUGGACAUCCAUCAUCUAUAACCCAUAUUAACUAGUUAUGUUGUUGGUCUAAGUAUCUAUUUUUGGCCUGAAAGUACAGUUUAUGAUUAGUAGUAUGAGAUAUCAGUGUUUUUUGGGUUACAUUUGUUGAUCAUGCCAAUUGCUAUGGGUUAUUGAACUGAUGUUUAUUAAGUUUAGCUCCAUGAUGGAUGUAUGUAUAGCUGCAGGAACAGAUUGAUCAAAUAUUGGUAUUUUUGUGAAUGGAUUUCAUAUGUGAUGAAUGCA